CUGGAAUGGAUUUAAAUGAUUCUGGUUAAUUUUUUACUGUGGUCGAAGAACCGUGAGCCUUUUCCUAGGAGGACAGGCACUUAUUCCUCACACAGGUUUCAACAAGAACAUUACGAGCUGGCUGCCUGGCCCACUGGUACAUCUGCCCAACGUGCCUCACGUACAUGGUCUCUGAGGAGAGAACAACCUCGGUUCAGCUCCUGCCUCCCACAGUUAAUCUACGGGAACUUCUGUUUACCAUCUUUAGGGUAGUGGUAAUACUAAUUCUUUCUGCAAGGACCGUUGCAACAAUUCAAUAAGACCACGGAUGUGUGAGGGCUUCUUCAAGGAAGCCAGAGGGAGGGCCAGUGUGGCCACCGAAGCUCCUGUCUGUGGGUGGACACCAGCACAGAGGAAGCAGACGUGUUCCUGCCGUUGUCAGAUACGAGGCUGCUUUAGGGGGUCCUGCCUAGUCCACUGGCUUGCUCUGAGCAGCUGUUCUUAUUGAAGCACGUGCCCAGGAGACGGCUUUAUUUCCCUCCCUCUCUCUGUUGUCAAGCAGUUCAAAAGUCACUGAGAGGUCAAGUCCUGAAGGCUAUGUACAAAGAACGACUCUCCUGCAAAGAUGGCCCCUGCUUCCCACAGCCCCACCGCUGAAGUCAGUGUUUGUGUUGGAGAAUAAUUAAAGCUGAUCACG
rnacentral:lncRNA from 1 species